UAAUUUUCUGUCCUAUGAGGGCCAAGGCAGUUUCUUUAUUAUUAACCAAUGAAAGCAACAGAUAAGAUAUAAGACCCACCUCCAUCACAGACCUCAGCAGGAAAAUAAAUAAAGGCAUCAGCAUGUGUUUAUGACCGCACAGCGUGAGAUAUGCAACUAUCACCAUCAUCACCAUCAUCACCAUCAUCAUCAUCAUCAUCAUCAUCAUCAUCAUCAUCAUCUAUGGGCAUGCAUACUACAGCACACAUGUGGAGUGUUCUGCCUGCAUGCAUGCCUGCAAGCCAGAAGAGGGAGCCAAAUCUCAUUACAGAUGGUCGUGACACACCAUGUGGUUGCAA